rnacentral:rRNA from 1 species
CCGUGAGGGUUGGGUUAAGUCCGCAACGACGCAUCCCUAUUGCUAGUUGCCAUCACAUAAUGGUGGGCACUCUAGUGAGACUGCCCGGGUCAACCGGGAGGAAGGUGGGGACGACGUCAAGUCAUCAUGGCCCUUACGUCCAGGGCUACACACGUACUACAAUGGUGGAUACAGAGGGUCGCGAAGCCGCGAGGUCGAGCCAAUCCCAGAAAAUCCAUCCCAGUCCGGAUCGCAGUCUGCAACUCGACUGUGUGAAGUUGGAAUCGCUAGUAAUCCCAGAUCAGCAUGCUGGGGUGAAUACGUUCCCGGGCCUUGUACACACCGCCCGUCACACCACGAAAGCUGGUUCUACCCAAAAUCGACGGACUAACCUUCGGGAGGUAGUCGCCUACGGUAGGGCUGGUAAUUGGGGUGAAGUCGUAACAAGGUACCA